rnacentral:rRNA from 1 species
UCCUGGAUUCAGCGGCGGACGGGUGAGUAAUGCCUAGGAAUCUGCCUGGUAGUGGGGGAUAACGUCCGGAAACGGGCGCUAAUACCGCAUACGUCCUGAGGGAGAAAGUGGGGGAUCUUCGGACCUCACGCUAUCAGAUGAGCCUAGGUCGGAUUAGCUAGUUGGUGGGGUAAAGGCCUACCAAGGCGACGAUCCGUAACUGGUCUGAGAGGAUGAUCAGUCACACUGGAACUGAGACACGGUCCAGACUCCUACGGGAGGCAGCAGUGGGGAAUAUUGGACAAUGGGCGAAAGCCUGAUCCAGCCAUGCCGCGUGUGUGAAGAAGGUCUUCGGAUUGUAAAGCACUUUAAGUUGGGAGGAAGGGCAGUAAGUUAAUACCUUGCUGUUUUGACGUUACCAACAGAAUAAGCACCGGCUAACUUCGUGCCAGCAGCCGCGGUAAUACGAAGGGUGCAAGCGUUAAUCGGAAUUACUGGGCGUAAAGCGCGCGUAGGUGGUUCAGCAAGUUGGAUGUGAAAUCCCCGGGCUCAACCUGGGAACUGCAUCCAAAACUACUGAGCUAGAGUACGGUAGAGGGUGGUGGAAUUUCCUGUGUAGCGGUGAAAUGCGUAGAUAUAGGAAGGAACACCAGUGGCGAAGGCGACCACCUGGACUGAUACUGACACUGAGGUGCGAAAGCGUGGGGAGCAAACAGGAUUAGAUACCCUGGCAGUCCACGCCGUAAACGAUGUCGACUAGCCGUUGGGAUCCUUGAGAUCUUAGUGGCGCAGCUAACGCG